rnacentral:tmRNA from 1 species
GGGGGCGAUCAGGAUUCGACGGAGAUAGGUUGCGCUUGGAUGGCAAGCCGAGUUCCAGGACUCGUAAAAAUUCUGGGCUUAAAUAUAGACGCUGACUAUAACGAGUUAGCAUUAGCAGCCUGAUAUAGAAGCUGCUACGUCUUUCGAAAAGUUUCCUGCGCUUUUCGACAGACGUCGGUUAGCAGGAUACCUUACCAUAGUUUGUCUUGUGGCCAUGGUAAGGGAAAAUUUACACAGACUAGCUUUUUUCAAUCGUGUCCAUGCGAGUGGAAAAAGCGAAAAUUAAAACAUGGACUAAGCUUGUAGAAAUCCAGGUGGCAAUAUCUUCGGACGCGGGUUCGAAUCCCGCCGCCUCCACCA